rnacentral:rRNA from 1 species
GACGAACGCUGGCGGCGUGCCUAAUACAUGCAAGUAGAACGCUGAAGGAGGAGCUUGCUCUUCUGGAUGAGUUGCGAACGGGUGAGUAACGCGUAGGUAACCUGCCUGGUAGCGGGGGAUAACUAUUGGAAACGAUAGCUAAUACCGCAUAAUAGUAGAUGUUGCAUGACAUUUACUUAAAAGGUGCAAUUGCAUCACUACCAGAUGGACCUGCGUUGUAUUAGCUAGUUGGUGGGGUAACGGCUCACCAAGGCGACGAUACAUAGCCGACCUGAGAGGGUGAUCGGCCACACUGGGACUGAGGCACGGCCCAGACUCCUACGGGAGGCAGCAGUAGGGAAUCUUCGGCAAUGGACGAAAGUCUGACCGAGCAACGCCGCGUGAGUGAAGAAGGUUUUCGGAUCGUAAAGCUCUGUUGUAAGAGAAGAACGAGUGUGAGAGUGGAAAGUUCACACUGUGACGGUAUCUUACCAGAAAGGGACGGCUAACUACGUGCCAGCAGCCGCGGUAAUACGUAGGUCCCGAGCGUUGUCCGGAUUUAUUGGGCGUAAAGCGAGCGCAGGCGGUUAGAUAAGUCUGAAGUUAAAGGCUGUGGCUUAACCAUAGUACGCUUUGGAAACUGUUUAACUUGAGUGCAAGAGGGGAGAGUGGAAUUCCAUGUGUAGCGGUGAAAUGCGUAGAUAUAUGGAGGAACACCGGUGGCGAAAGCGGCUCUCUGGCUUGUAACUGACGCUGAGGCUCGAAAGCGUGGGGAGCAAACAGG